AAAACUAAAUUAAAAACUAUACAUAAAUCAAUUCGUAAAAUAUGUGCAUCAAUCAUUCGUUGAAAAUUCGACUUUCGAAUUAAAAACAAGUAUUCGACGAAGUGUUCGAGUCGUACAGAGUACCAUAAUUAUGAUAUUCAAAGCAUUUGUAAUAUUUAUAAUAGUUGCUUAUAAAUAUUAUUCAUCAAUAGUUGUGUAAUCGAGUGAAAUAUCUACACACAGAAAAAUAUCACUCUUCAGCCAAGAAAAGUAUUUACUCAUUUUAUUUUAUUUUGUUCAAGUAAUAGUUUUCUUUAUCAAGAAUAUUUUCUUAAUAUUAGUUUUAAGGUAUACUUGUCACAAGUAUUAGAAAAUCUCAGAAUUGUUUACUUAAAACAAGAAUUUAUUCUUGUUUCAAGAAUAUUGUAAAACUGUAUUCAAGAAAAUCGAAUUUACUUAAUUUAAAUAUAUUAAUUUAAGAAGGUUUUCUUCUUUCAAGUAAGUUUAUUUUCUCAAUUUAAAAAAAUGUUUUUUCUAUUCUUUUCGCUACUCAUCGCUACGUAGUGCUGGUGGCGUGUUUUCUCGUGAACAAAAUGCACUUCUUUAAUAAAAGAGGCUCGCCAAGAGCAUGAAAGGAAGUAAGAUUUCGCCAUCGACAUACAAAUAAUAGAGUAAAAUGUCAGUCUUUAAAAAUAAUCAAGAAAAAUAAGAAAAUCAUAAUUGUGAAAGUAAAUUUCGCUUUUAAUUUAAUUUAACUAAAAAUAUAAUUUCUUCUUCCAAGUAAAUAAUUAUUUCAGAUAAGUAAAAUUUAUAUUUAAUUCAAAUAACAAAUAAACUUUUCUAAAGAAAUUAUGAUAUCUUAAUUCAAAUAUACGCUUUUCUUCGUUGGACUCUAGAUAGUAAGUAAACUGAAUAUUUGUUUGAAGUGAAUAUUUUUGUUUGAAAUAUUACACUUACUAAGAUUGAGAAUAUGUUUUAAGUAAAUGUGAUACUUGCAGCAAGUUUACCGUAGCGGAUAUCAAAAGAAACCUGUUACUUAGAACAAGUAAUAUUUGGAAUUAGUAAUUAUUUUUCUAUGUGUAGGAAUUAAUUAAGUUUUGUUUUGAUCAGUAUAAUUGAGGCCAUUGACACGGUAUGUUCCAAAAAUGACAUUCCUUCACGGCUGCAAUGUGACUAUAUGUUCAAAAUACAGUAAUAAACAUUGGCUGCACAUUAGUAGGAUUGUUCCAUCCGGUUAAUCCAAUUUCGCCUGCUGAUUUCUGGCAAACUUUACUUCGACUCUGUAAUCGUAUCUACCUCACGUUAUGCUGUAAAAAAUGAUUAUACACUGCGUGGUCCUACGGAACAGGAAGGAACAAAGUCAAAAGGCAGGGUGAGGAAUUGCACCAGAUAUAUUAUGAAUAUGGAACUCGGUCGUAAAGCGAUGACGUAAUCGCCAUUAGUUUUAUCCGUAUCGUGCAGCGCGAGACGAAGACGGACUGGCGAAUCGCGAACGUUACGACCAGGUGCAGGCCGGUUCGCGAUCCCAUUAAAUCUUCGGCCGGUUGAACUCGGGGUAAUAGCCCGCGGUCGAGCGACGGAGGCGACGACACGCUCGUCUCUCCGGGUCCGAUCUCGUGGAAACCGUCGCGGUUUGAUCGAUAUAUCUGCGCGAUCCCGUCCGCGAAUUCCCGCGCGGCUCGAGCGGGGAGCCCACGGCUGUACCUGCACGUCGUAAGUCACAACGGGUCAAGACGAGGAGUGUUAUUACCGUAAAGAUCGGUCGGGGGCGAGGAGGGAAACCGGGAUCGAUGCUUAACCCUUAAUUUGGUAUUUGCCCUUGCGAAUGAUCGGUGUUAAGGCACGGUCGGGAACAAUUAUCACGUCGUGGGGCGGGAGCCGCCGCCAAGUCCACCGCGAUUCCUCGGUCCGGGAGAGUGCGAGUCGAGGCAGAAUUAACGCACAUUUAUUAUUACGCAUUAGAGACGAUUAAUCUUUAUAAAUCGGACGUUUUAAUUACCGUGGCGCACGAGGGGGAGAAAAGAUCGCCCGUGAGAUCGUCUUAACGAGGAGAAUCGCGCUUUCGGUAUCCUUACGAUGACUUCGCGCGUAGAUCGAGCAUGCCCGAUACGCGAGGGCGAAGAGCCAUUUCUUUUCUACGAAAAAGCGCGUUCUAUCUUUCGCCACGAUUUAUCCCAUUGUGCUAACGCGUGAGAUAACAGAGUGACGCCCGCUCGCCGUGUACCUCGCGGAAAAUAGAUUGCCGUCGUUUACAGCUGGCGUUCGCAUUGUCCGUAACAACCGUGGUACCGCGGCUGUAGACGUAGAAAGAAAACCAGUCAUUCCGGAAUAUUAACGUCACCUUUUCGACGGUACCGCGGGUCUAAUUACCGAAUGGUAAUUAACUAGGCAGGCCUGGAAGUCAGGGUAAUUAUGAGACGUGCGACCCAGAGGAACGGCGGCGGCGGCGGCGGACUGUUUUCCCCGAUCUCUCGAUCCGCGUCGAUUGGAAAGGAUUAAGCUUCAGCAGGACCCGGGUGAUCAAAGCCUCCCCCCCCCUCCUCCUCCUCUCGCCUUCUCUUUCUCUCUCUGUAUUAUUUCUAUUUCUAUCUCUACCUCUCCGCGGUAGAUCUAAAUCGGCCGUCUAGAUCUAAAACGUCUCGACGCCCAUCGGGCGAAUAUUAUUGCGCAACACGCACUGGGGAUACGCGAAACGACUAAUGACGUGAAGGAAGGUGCCCGCGCAUUCACGAUCGUUACGUAAUCGUGAGUAAUUAGUCCAUUUAUGAGCCGCGCGCACGUAAUAUCGGCCGAUGGGCAACGGACGCGAUGGUCGCAUUAGUUCUCCCGUUAUUAAUGCAUUUCGAUCGCAUUUUUCUGCGCGCGUUUAUUGCGCCGUAGAUUAACGUCGCGUUACCUCCUCUCUCUCUCUCUCCCUCUCGUCUCCCCCUUUCUUCUCCCGAUACGUUACUUAAUCGCGAGAUUAGCCGAUCAUUUGCGGCAUCGCUCUCACGACGCGUGUGCAUCCGUUUCGCAGCGAAGCUCGAAUUCGAAUGAAAUAAAAACAAAAGAGAGAUAUAACAUAAGAAAAACAAUACGCGAGCUUUCAUACUUAAAAAUGCAGUCGCAUUAAAAUUACGUCCUAUAUUUUAUUCUCAUCCCAUUUUAUCAUAUUUUAUAAAAAUACAUCCUACAUGUUAUGUUUUUGUACAUAUAUCUAAUACAGUGAUACAUCCAUUAAUUUCGUGUUUGUCUCAAUGUUUUUUAUAAUGCAAAUGCAUUACAAUUUAUUUUUACAGGAAAAUGGGCAGAGUUAUAGCUUAACUGUCAUAUAAUGACAUUCCGUGUUUUUUAUUAUAUUUUAAAAUACAAAAAUAGGCUAUCUUGUCUUGAAACAAUUCUAUCGGAGUCACGUAAAGCAUAACAUCUAAUGCUUCGCGUCGCAAUGCGGCAUAUAUAUGACACAGACAAGAUUUUAUUUGGCAUAUUAAGCUAUGCGGACAUAGCCUAAUGUUUUAUACGAAUCGCGUUAAUCUUCGUUUCUGUGAAGGAAAAUUGAGCUGUUUAGGCCGUAUUACAUAUAAUAUUCGUCGCACCGUAUUACGACAUCAUUGAACAUGUAAAUAAGCAGCAGCUUAUACAUACAAUACGUAGCGAAUCUGCCGUUAACUAUCGGUUAACGAAGCUGUACGCCUCAAGACAUUUGCAGCACGAGGCAUAUAAUUAUCACAUCACAGCAUGUGAGAAAGUUGCUAGGACGCAUCGUUGAGCGACACGAUGCGUGCUGGUAAUGAGGAGCGAACUAACAGCUCUCUCGACUAGAACGCUAGAAAAAAAAAGAGUGAAGCGUGUCGUUUGUGGAUGCAACGUUCACGUGAUGGCAGUUCGAGGCUGUAAUGAGACACUGAGCAUCUCCUACGCACCUUGAAAUUACAUACGCCUCGAAUAAUUCAUACCGCUUUUAGGCACACAAUUAAAUUUGCUUCUCUUAUUGACAAGAUGCGCGAAUCCUUUAAUGCCAUAAAAGAUGUUUCUCCAAAGUGGUAUAAAAUUAUUCAAAAAAAUAUAAAAAAUUUAUAACUGUAUAUUAUAUUUAUAAGUUAAUUUAUUUGACUUAUUUUAAAGAAAAUCUCAUUUUCCAUUUUUUCUUCCUUUCUCUAAAAUUAAAGUUCAUAGUAUUAUAGAUUUAUUUUGUAUUUAUCUAAAAUUUUUCAAUUAUUAAAUUAUAACAUAAGAUUUAAGAUCAGUCACGUGACACAUUUAACAAUUACCAUAAUACUAUGAUAGAAAUCGUCCCUUCUAAAUUCGUACAGUACGAAACAAAUCAACGAAUCAAGCAUGAAAGUGAGCCAGGCUAAGCAUACCGUGGCUAAGAUUAUGGAAAAUUAUUUGCAGAAAAGAGAGCAAUGAGACGAUUUGCAACGACCAACGAGAACAAUGCGGAGGAGCAUGCUCGUCAGGAAAUCGUUAACCCAGCGAAGGUAAUCGCAGCCUUCGGCAUUGGUGCAUACGUGCAUUGUUAAUAACAGGGUACUCGAGAGGCACUACCAUUCCGUAGAGAGACCCGCAGAGCGGACUGCCUGCGAUCAUCGGCGUAUCCUUCGAUACACGGAACCGAUCGGCCGACGUUGUCCGGCUUACGCCAAGGCUAAUUCGCCUUAAUUAAUACACGAGGUCUCACCAAACCUCCUCCUGUCUAUCAAAGGUCACGCCAGUCGGCUGACACCGAGCCUAUAUUCUGAUAGUUACGCACAGUGAUUCUCAGCUUCGAUCCUUUAGCCCCUUCGAUCAAUCAAAUCUUUUUGUUGUAACACAUUACGAAUUAUUUGUAUAACUACUUUGUGUAAUUUGAUCAUGGUGUCAAUGUUUUAUACACUCGAGAAAAUAAUCUUGCAAUUUCAACAAAAAUGAUAGGUAUGCAAAAAUUAGAUGAAAUAGGUAAAUGAGAGAGAGAGAGAGAGAGAGAGAGAGAGAUUAGCAAAUACUGUGAUAUGUAUACGUAUUGCACUUAAUCAAUCUAACUGACAUACAUUCGGUUGUGACGUCAGGAAAUCUGUAUGUAUCAGCAAAAAAAAUUUUCGGGUGUAAUUCGAAUAAUUAUGACGGGAUAGUUUCUCUUAAAUAGAACGAAAUUAUAGGAAUAAUAAUAGUUUGUUUUGAUACUAGAGCAUUUUAAUUAUAUUUUACGGCUUAACUGUGUGACAAACAGUCGAUACGUAAUUCAUAAAUAAUAUUCUAUCUAGUGAGUGUAAGGAACUGAAUAAAAUAUGUUUAUAUUAAAAUUUAUUAUAUAAAUUGCAGUUUAGAGAAUGCUAGACAGAAUGUUAUUAAUAUCUUUCUGAACGUAGAAUUUGAGCGUGCUGCCCAAGCGUUUCUCACGCUUGCGUUGUUUAUAUAUAAUACAUAUAGUUAAUUGUAAAUAAACUUAAAUUUAUGUCGCUCCCAUUUAAUUACGGCUCGUUAAAAAUUCCACCGAGUCAAUCAAAAUCAUGGCUCGCGGAAAAGUCUGGCGUAGAAUAUAAUGAUGCAUUUAAAAGAAGCGGCAGGGAUUUCUUAACUCACGCGGAAUCAUCCUCAGCCGAGGGAAAUGCGAUAAUUAGAGAUACCCUGUAGAUACACAUGUUGCUAUGCGAUUUCUCACAAGUAGAUAAGGAAUUUUAUGUGUACGCUAAUGGGCGUAGGAAACAUCUCUCACCAUAUAAUCGUGCAAGGGCGAUUUACCGUGCGCUCAUAAUGAGCUAUGAUUCUCUACCUGUAAUGCAACUCUCGUUACACGCAACAGCGUGCGUCAGGCACACUGCUAUUCGUCGAUAUUAAAAGUAAUAUUAGGCUCUUAUUAUUCCGUUACGCCGUCAAUGAGGCGCGUAAUAUGAACAACGUUCAGUUACGACUCUCGCUGAAGCAAUUAAUAUUGCUGAUAGCACUCUGCCCUUCGACCCGUUAUCGAAGAGUCCUAUAUGUCAUAAUUCAACUUAAAUAUAUAAUAUCCCAUUUGUACCAGUGUCUAAUUAUCAACUUAACGUUUCGCAUUGCAAAAGUGGCGAUGAAGAAUAUAUCGUGAUAUAAUGGAACGCAAGGCCGGCCUUAUGUAAUAUCGCGAAAUCAGUAAAUUUAGAGCGCAAAGUCUUUUGAAAUCACGAGUCUUUGAGAACUAGAUCCAUUAUUCCUCGAAUCGGGACAAUUUUACGGUCGCUCCCGCGAGGCUUGAUCGCAACGGCAGUCAUGAUCGCGCGAUUUGCGAACGAGUUAUACCGCGGAAUGGCAGAAAUGACGGUAAUCAAUGAAUUGGCAUUUCCCACAUCCAGACCAACGACGGUAUCUACUUUGGCAUAAAGGAUAUCUCGACGGCCACGCGGCGCUAAAAUGACGGAUAGCCGGCGCGAUUCGCCAACAAGCUCUUUGCACGCCACUCGUUGAAACAAUUAUUAGUCAAACCGAGGUACGACAUACACAGAAUGGGGCUGUAUGUCAAGUAAUGGGCCUUUCGUUUACCGCGCAUCGGAGAUUUCGUAAAACCGUCCACCAUAAUGGCGCCCUAAUGCGCGAAGCAUGUUCCGAUGUCUUCGCGAAGCGAAUUUCUCUCCGUGGAAUCGGAGCAGCGGGAAGAUGGCGCGUAGAAUUUUCACGCGGAAGGAUGAAAGAAAGGACGAUUCCAGCGAACCUCGAAUCAUAUCCUCAAGCACACUUA
rnacentral:lncRNA from 1 species